rnacentral:rRNA from 1 species
GAUCAAGCUAGAAAGGGCGCAUGGGGGAUGUCUUGGCAUCAGAAGAUUUUGAAGGGCGUUGAAGACUGCGAUAUGUCCGGGGGAGUUGUCAAACAAACUUUGAUCCCGGAAUUCCCGAACCGGCUCUAACUGAAUUCAUAGGUUAUUGCCAGCAACGCAGGGAACUGAAACAUCUAAGUACCUGCUGGAAAAGAAAGAAAACUCGAUUCCGUCAGUAGCGGCGAGCGAAAGCGGAAUAGCCCAAACCAGAGGGAUUUUCCUUCUGGGGUUGUAGGGUCAUUCACAUGGGAGUUACAAAGUUAUCAAAUAGUAGAAACGCAUUGCACGGCGUACCACAGAAGGUGAUAGUCCUGUACACGAAAUUUGUAUAACCUCCCGAAUGAUACCUGAGUAGGUUGGGUCACGUGAAACCCCGACUGAAUCGACGGAGACCAUUCCGUAAGGCUAAAUACUCUCUGAUGACCGAUAGUGAACUAGUAGAGCGAUCGAAAGAUGGAAAGAACCCCGACUAAGGGGAGUGAGAUAGAAUCUGAAACCAUGUGCCUACAAGCGGUCGGAGCACGAUUUUAACGUGUGACGGCGUGCCUUUUGCAUAAUGAUCCGGCGAGUUGGCGUAAUCAGCCCGGUUAAGGUCUUACGGACCGAAGCCACAGGGAAACCGAGUCUGAAUAGGGCGAUUGUUGAUUGUGCCAGACGCGAACCCCAGCUGAACUACCCAUGAGCAGGUUGAAUCGCGGGUUAAACUGCGUGAAGGACCGAACCCACUUGGGUUGAAAACCGAGGGGAUGACUUGUGGGGAGGAGUGAAAGUCUAAUCAAACUGGGAGAUAGCUCGUUCUCUUCGAAAUCGCUUUAGGGCGGGCCUUGAGCCACUAUUUGACGGGGGUAGAGAUACUGAAUUGGACACCGGUGCUCCCAAGCAUACGGUACCUAACCAAACUCCGAAUACCGUUAAAAUUAUCUCAGGAGUCAGUCCGCGAGGGAUAAGCUUCGCGGACGAGAGGGAAACAACCCAGAUCGCCAGCUAAGGUCCCUAAAUAGAACUCAGUCACAAAGGAAGUUUGAAUGCUGAGACAGCCAGGAUGUUGGCUUAGAAGCAGCCAUCAUUUAAAAAGUGCGUAACAGCUUACUGGUCGAGCAUUUGAGCGCCGAUAAUGAACGGGAGUAAGUUCUAUACCGAAGCUGCGGAAUCGUAAGAUUGGUAGAAGAGCACUGUAUAAGAGAUACAAGUCGUACCGUAAGGAGCGAUAGCGGCUUAUACAGGAGAUUAUGUCGGAAUGAGUAACGAUAAAACAGGUGAGAAUCCUGUUCGCCGAAAGCCUAAGGUUUCCUGGGGUAGGUAAUUCCGCCCAGGGUCAGCCGGUACCUUAGACGAGGCCGAAAGGCGUAGUCGAUGGAUAAAAGGUCAACAUUCCUUUGCUAUUGUUGUGGACAGAUGGAGGGACGGCGUUUGAACGGUGAGUCACCAAAUAGAAACGGUGGUUCCUGUGCGGAAUCUAUCGGGAAGAAAAGACCGAAAUGUGAGGAAGUACGGGACUGAUGUAUUGAGGGUCAUCCGAAAAACGUCCAAGAAAAUCUUCUAAUGGUUGAAGCAGCAAUAACCGUACUAAAACUGACACAGGUAGGCGGGUUGAGAAUACUAAGGCGCUCGGGAGAAUACUAGUUAAGGAACUCUGCAAAAUGAUCCCGUACGUUCGCAAUAAGGGAUGCCACCUGAGGUGUCAAAGCUUCGGGGGGUCACAGUAAAUCGGUAUCAGCAACUGUUUAUCAAAAACACAGGACCGUGCUAACACGUAAGUGGAUGUAUACGGUCUGACGCCUGCCCGGUGCCGGUAAGUCAAGGAAGGAGGUUAUCGCAAGAAAAGCUUCCGACCAAAGCUCCGGUAAACGGCGGCUCUAACCUUGAGAGUCCUAAGGUAGCGAAGUUCCUUGUCGGGCAAGUUCCGACCUGCAUGAAAGGCGUAAUGACUGAUACACUGUCUCAACUAGUAACCCGGUGAAAUUGUAGUCGUGGUGAAGAUGCCACGUACCCGCAGUAAGACGGAAAGACCCCGUGAACCUUUACUGUAGGCUGAUAUUGGGCUGAGGUCUGAUUUGUGUAGGAUAGGUGGGAGGCAGUGAAGUCGAUGCGCUAGCACCGGCGGAGCCGACGUUGAAAUACCACCCUGAUUAUACUUUAGUUCUAACGCUGAUUCCCGUGAAUCCGGGCGGCGGACAUUGUCAGUUGGGCAGUUUGACUGGGGCGGUCUCCUCCGAAAGAGUAACGGAGGAGUUCAAAGGUACCCUCAGCCUGUUUGGAAAUCAGGCGUUGAGCGUAAUGGUAGAAGGGUGCUUGACUGCGAGACCCAUAAGUCGAGCAGAUACGAAAGUAGGACAUAGUGAUCCGGUAGUCCCGAAUGGAAGGGCUAUCGCUCAUCAGAUAAAAGGUACUCCGGGGAUAACAGGCUUAUCGCUCCCGAGCGUCCAUAGCGGCGGAGCGGUUUGGCACCUCGAUGUCGGCUCAUCACAUCCUGGGGGUGGAGGAGCUCCCAAGGGUUUGGCUGUUCGCCAAUUAAAGUGGUACGUGAGCUGGGUUCAGACCGUCGUGAGACAGGUCGGUCCCUAUCUGCUGUGGGCGCACGAAACUUGAGGAGAUUCAAUCUUAGUACGAAAGGACUUUAUUGGACUCAGCUCUGGUGUUCCAGUUGUCACGCUAGUGGCACGGCUGGGUAGCUAUCUGGGGAAUGGAUAAACGCUGAAAGCAUAUAAGCGUGAAGUCGGCUCCAAGAUGAGGUUUCGUAACAGUAAUGUGGAAGUCCCCUGGUAGACAACCAGGUUGAUAGGUCGCGUGUGUAAGGUCUGUGAGGAUUUUAGCUAAGCGAUACUAACGGACGAACGCUUGAUCGC